CCUACGGGUGGCUGCAGUGGGGAAUUUUGGACAAUGGGGGAAACCCUGAUCCAGCCAUUCCGCGUGAGUGAAGAAGGCCUUCGGGUUGUAAAGCUCUUUCGGCAGGAACGAAACGGUCUCACCUAAUACGUGGGGCUAAUGACGGUACCUGAAGAAGAAGCACCGGCUAACUACGUGCCAGCAGCCGCGGUAAUACGUAGGGUGCGAGCGUUAAUCGGAAUUAUUGGGCGUAAAGCGUGCGCAGGGAUGUGAAAUCCCCGGGCUUAACCUGGGAACUGCGUUUGUGACUGUAAGACUCGAGUGCGGCAGAGGGGGGUGGAAUUCCACGUGUAGCAGUGAAAUGCGUAGAUAUGUGGAGGAACAUCGAUGGCGAAGGCAGCCCCCUGGGUCGACACUGACGCUCAUGCACGAAAGCGUGGGGAGCAAACAGGAUUAGAUACCCCAGUAGUC
rnacentral:rRNA from 1 species